AUCAUCGCCAUCCCCUUUCUUACCUGCCUGCUCUUUCCAAUAUGCAACCAGUUUUUUAAGCCGAGCAACCUCUUUUGACGAAACAUUUUUGCUUGGAUCAUUAACAAUUGAUCGAACCCUUGAUGCAUACCUGAAAUGGCAAAAGUUGAGAUACCAAGAAAGGCAAAAACAUGUAUGAGAGACUGGAAGAGAUUUAAUGAGAUAAAUUGCAGUCGUAAUUUAAUUCUAUCAUCUUAAAACUAACCAAUACUAAUCUUGGAUAAGACAUCUCACAUUAAGAAUCACAAAACAAGCUAUUAAAAACAUUAUGGAUAUGUUGUGAAUGUUUGGAAGACAGAAAC
rnacentral:lncRNA from 1 species